AAAAAAGGAUGGAAACACCACUUCUAACUAGUAUCCUUAAAGAUCCAGAGGUAGUAUAAAUAAAUGUAUAAAUGUAGAUCUGGCGAGACCAGAACUCCCAACAAUUUUUAACCACACCUGAACAGAAGAGCUUGCCUCAGUAACACUGUUCAUGCCAGCCUGACAGCCCCGCUAUCAUCAUCAAAGCAGUAACUGUUUUCAACAACAGUAUAACCAUCAAAUAGUUUUUUUCAUAGUGAAGUUUAGAUUACAUCACCGUCUUGAAUAUUAUGUAUGAGCUCAUUGAACUUACUGCUCCAUAAAUAUGCAGAACAAUGGCAAUGAAUGAAGCCAAAACCGAGGCAGAGACGCUGCCUUUGUGUCAGGACAGAGGUUCACUGACAGUGAGUCAGUGCCCACAGCUGCAUGUGGGAUGUUGAUUAGCUAAUUAUACGAUACUUGUUACAUGAAUUUAUAGACACUUGAAGACUGCAUCUACAUAUAAUUGUUCUUUCUGUUUCGUUCUGGUAAAAAAAGCAGCUAGAGAAAUAUCGGCAGCUAAACAAAAAAACUUCAAUUACAUUUGUCAUAUGGCCACUACAAUAUUAUUAACCACACAAAGACAGAGCUUUUCUAGGACAGCUUAGGGUGUAAUUGCCAUGCUCAGACUCCAAGUAUAGCUUCUCACCCUCAGAUUAUGUAAAAGCAGCCGUGUUUUCAAGUUCUGCUCACUGUGGAUGACUCACAUUAUUAUGUACUAACAACUGACACAUUCUGUUUUACCCCUUUGUUUUACAUGCCUGGAGUGUUCUGGCUGGAGUUUGUCUUGUUCAGAAUCUGUAUGUGCUGCACACCAAGUAUUGUACCAUGUAAUCACUCCUUGUCCUUCUCCUUUUUAGCUUUUAAUGAGCUCCUGCACUGGCACUUGGGCAAUUUCCCAAAGCUACCCUUCAGAACUCCAAGAAGGCACCAUGAGAUCUGCAGGCAGCACUGCAGAUUCCUGAGAAUUGGCACAGCUACACUGGAGACCUCUGAUAAAGCAAAGACCUCUGAUAAAUUGCUGCUUGUGUCACAAGCUCUUUUGAACUCUUGCACAUGCAGUUGGCAUCAAGAAUCAAACAAUGCAUGUCACUAAAUCUUCUUAUGGAGACACAGGAGAUUAAGGCUUAUCUUAUGAGUGGGAAGGUUUCCAUUCUCCGUUUCAAUAGGAGAAAGUCCUGAAAGUGAAUAAACUCCAAAGUCUCCAAUAAAACAAAGGGAGAGCAGCUUUACGCAUAAGAUGGAUCUUGCUCUGUGAUUCUGUACCACUGCCUUCUGUGACUGCAUCAGCAGCCAGCUCACUUUUUAUCUACUUUAAGUAAGGAGAAACAUAAAAUGUCCAAAUAUCCUCAGCUUGCUACGUAAGAGGCCCAUUAAAGACUCUUGGUGAGACAAGCAUGUUGUCAGAUUUCGGAACAUCACAGAGUUUAAUACAGAAAGCAUGAAAGAACGGGUGAAAUUAUUUAUUUAUGUAAUGAGUAGUGAUGCCAAGUACUUCCAGAUCCUGCUGUCUUUGCUAAGGAACAAGAUAGAAAUAAUGACAUAACUAAUCUUCCAAAGACACGUGAGCACUUCUUCCCAGAAAUAACUGUUAAGUGUAAAAUUUCAAUCAUUAAUCAAAGCGCACGGGGGCCUAACCCUUUUUAGGAUUCUAAAAGGAAACGUGAAGCAAUAUGACUAUAAAGCAACACAAAUGUAAGGGGCACUUAACCUUUAUUCUAAGCAGGUAACUUCAAGAAAAGCACACCUGGGGCCAGUUUCUCUCUACUAGCGUAGAUUUGUAUUGAUUCUACAAAGACGCAGCAAGUUUUACCAUUUCAGAGGUUGGUCUCUGCCUGGAAGAAAGAAGGGCACCACCACACGAUAUCAUGAAUAUGAAGAAAAGAAAGUAAUAAAAUAUGCUGCAGGAAGGAGCAGAAGACACAUACCCAUGAGGAAAGCAAAACACAGGAUAAACAAAAUGCCUAAGAGGCUCUUUCAGGAAGAAGAACUAGCAGACGCAGCACAAAGGAAUGUGAACUCUGCACAGAUACUGAGAAUACAGGUCAACUCCACAAAGAGAGUGCUUACAAAGAUGAGUUGUUUUAUCUCAGAUCCACAGUCCUGUUGAUAAAUCUCAGUGAUUCAACAAGAAGGAAAAUUUCACACGGAAUGAGUUCCAGCCCUUAUUUGGAACAGCAGAAGGUACUGCUUAGUGGUCUAGGGAGAUAAAUAAACUGCCUGGGCCAAUUCAAAACU